GAAACUACAAUUCCCGGCAGGCUCCGGCUGGCUUGGCGACAGUUUGCGGGGCAGUACGGGAAUUGUAGGCUCAGGCACUGGUGAUUGCCGCAACCUGUGCUUGACCUUCCUCGUCCAGUCACUGCAGCGCUCGCCUUGAAUCUGCAGGUCCCGGCAAAUGCCCGAUUAUAAGAAUUAUCUGUGGGGCUGAUUAAAAGUGUAAAUCAACAGGCUUGUCCCUGAGAUGUUCGGAUUCAGUAUUACUGGAUACAGAAAUGGAGACAGAGAGUUUGUUGCCCUGAUCCCAUAGCUAUAGGCUGAAGAAGGGCUUUGAACUCAGGUUUUCUGAAUCCAAAUCUUGCAGUGUUUAACCUAAGGUAUGCUGCUUCCUGAAAUCUAGCUGGCAUCACACACUAGCAAAGGUCUGUCCCUCGUGGCCAGCUGUGCCCCACCCUAACCAGAGUGGAGGGAGCAGAAAGUCGCGCAGUCCCCGCUGAGUCUAGUGCAGUUCCCGGAGAAGGACUAGGCGAGAGCCACCAGCAGCCUGAAAGCAGAGGAAGAUGCCCAGGGCCUGAUGGGUGACCUGGGCUGCGCACCGUGCCACAGUCCACACAAGCAGCAGGAGGCUGUUUGCGGAGGCUGGCAGUGAAGGAUGCCAGUCAAAGCUUGGGCAGAGCCGGAAAUGGCAUGUUUCAUUUGAAAACACAGUAUCGCUUUAAAUAAAAG